CAGUCAUUCACAGUCUUGCUGGAACAGACCUCCACUUGUGCUUCUCUCUGGGAGCCUCCUCACAAGUUCACCUGUCCCCUCUACUGAAGAGGAUGCUGGCACAAUCAUGCUUGGCUUCUGUAAUGCUGUUUUCUUUUUAACUCCAAAUUCUCAGUUUUCAUGAAAGUUGAAGUCAUCAGUGUUCAUUUCAGCAGACAACAGUCUUUUACAUUAUGCACUUAGAGUCUUUCGAUGCCUUUUUCUUUUUUUCCCCCCAAACUCCAGGCUGCUGUCUCCUGCCAUCUGGCCACUCUCCCACACAGUCCAGAUUUGUGAAGUGCUGUACUGACUGUUGUCUCUCCAGAAAAAAAAAAUUCUUGUAGCCGCCAAGGAACGCUGUAGCUCAGCGAGACAGGUCCUUGGAUCUUGGGUUUCUUCCACCACUGGGGUCCAUUGUUGCCUGUCGCUUGAUUUGUGGUUAGGCAGUCGGCUCUUGGAAGGAAAACCUGGCUGCUUUAAAAUUCUCAGUGUUCUCGUAUUACCCUGACACAUUCACAGGUUUAAACUUUUUAAUUUAGCAAAAAGAAGAUAGAGCUGAACAUAGAGGUGAUGGGACCUCUUUGGAUGUAGUUUUCUCUCAAUAUGUGCACAGUCUCAGUGUAACAUUACAGUGCAACAAGUUUCUAUACCUUUCACAACACUUUGCCUCCAUGUAUGAUGAACUAGUUACACUGUAGAACCUAAACGAUGAAUCAUGGUCUUAUUAAAUUGAUUCAUGAAUUUCUCAAUGUGUAAACUUUGUGUAUAAAAUUUCAAGACAUAAGACGAAUUCUGUCUUAACAUUUUCUGGACAUUUCCAAUAAAUGCUUUUUUGAUACGUUAAUGAAGUUUGCUCGAAUUUUGACAACUCUCCUACACGCCUGUCUUAUGAAAUAGAUAGGCAUGGCAUUUUUCUUAAAUGUAAAGUACCAGACAUAGAAAAUGUAGAGGAGACCAGGGCUUGUUGUCAC